GAUGAACGCUGGCUACAGGCUUAACACAUGCAAGUCGUGGGGAAACGGCAUUAUGUGCUUGCACAUUCUGGACGUCGACCGGCGCACGGGUGAGUAUCGCGUAUCCAACCUGCCCCUUACUUGGGGAUACCCCGUUGAAAGACGGCCUAAUACCCGAUGUGUUUCAUUGACGGCAUCCGAUAUGAAACAAAGGUUUUUCCGGUAAGGGAUGGGGAUGCGUCUGAUUAGCUUGUUGGCGGGGCAACGGCCCACCAAGGCGACGAUCAGUAGGGGUUCUGAGAGGAAGGUCCCCCACAUUGGAACUGAGACACGGUCCAAACUCCUACGGGAGGCAGCAGUGAGGAAUAUUGGUCAAUGGACGCAAGUCUGAACCAGCCAAGUAGCGUGCAGGAUGACGGCCCUAUGGGUUGUAAACUGCUUUUAUGUGGGAAUAAAGUGGCGCACGUGUGCGCCAUUGCAUGU
rnacentral:rRNA from 1 species